CCGAUCAUUCUCCAUGUGAGGGAAUUAAGGACGGCACAUUGUCCUUCUAAUGGGGAUCCAGCAGGGUGGCCACCCAGUAAUCAGCACAAGUUAGAAUGUGGGAAACUCGGCAGUCGUUGUGCAGCACUUUGGUGACUCUAGAUAACCUCGGGCCGAUCGCACGUCCCCGUGAUGGCAACGACGCAUUCGGAUGUCUUCCCUAUCAACUUUCGAUAGUACUUUCUGUGCCUACCAUGGUGACCACUGGUAACGGGAAAUCAGGGUUUGAUUCCG